rnacentral:rRNA from 1 species
AACGAACGCUGGCGGCGUGCUUAACACAUGCAAGUCGAACGUGAUUCAGAGCUUGCUCUGAUGAAAGUGGCGCACGGGUGAGUAACGCGUGGAUAACCUGCCCUGGUAUCUGGGAUAACAUCUCGAAAGGGGUGCUAAUACCGGAUAAGCCCACGGGACCUUCGGGUCCUGCGGGAAAAGGUGGCCUCUAUUUAUAAGCUACCGUAUCAUGAUGGGUCCGCGUACCAUUAGCUAGUUGGUGGGGUAAUGGCCUACCAAGGCGACGAUGGUUAGCGGGUCUGAGAGGAUGAUCAGCCACACUGGAACUGAGACACGGUCCAGACUCCUACGGGAGGCAGCAGUGGGGAAUUUUGCGCAAUGGGGGAAACCCUGACGCAGCAACGCCGCGUGAGUGAUGAAGGCUUUCGGGUCGUAAAGCUCUGUCAGUGGGGAAGAAAUGGGUGUCGCUAAUAUCGGCACUUCUUGACGGUACCCACAAAGGAAGCACCGGCUAACUCCGUGCCAGCAGCCGCAGUAAUAC